rnacentral:rRNA from 1 species
UACGGGGUGGGCGAGCGUUGCCCGGAAUUACUGGGUUUAAAGGGGGUGUAGGCGGUCCGGAGAGUCAGGUGUGUAAUCCAACCGCUCAACGGUUGGGCUGCACCUGAUACUUCCGGGCUAGAGGGCGGUAGAGGAGAGCGGAACUCCCGGUGUAGCGGUGAAAUGCGUAGAUAUCGGGAGGAACACCAGUAGCGAAGGCGGCUACCUGGCCGGUAACUGACGCUGAGGUGCGAGAGCGUGGGGAGCAAACAGG